AUUGAACGCUGGCGGCAGGCCUAACACAUGCAAGUCGAACGGUAACACAGAGAGCUUGCUCUUGGGUGACGAGUGGCGGACGGGUGAGUAAUGUCUGGGAAACUGCCCGAUGGAGGGGGAUAACUACUGGAAACGGUAGCUAAUACCGCAUAACGUCUUCGGACCAAAGUGGGGGACCUUCGGGCCUCACACCAUCGGAUGUGCCCAGAUGGGAUUAGCUAGUAGGUGGGGUAAUGGCUCACCUAGGCGACGAUCCCUAGCUGGUCUGAGAGGAUGACCAGCCACACGGUGACUGAGACACGGUCCAGACUCCGCCGGGAGGCAGCAGUGGGGUAUAUUGCAAAGUGGGCGCAAGACUGGUGCAGCCAUGCCGCGUGUAUGAAGAAGGCCUUCGGGUUGUAAAGUACUUUCAGCGGGGAGGAAGGCGAUGAGGUUAAUAACCGCAGCGAUUGACGUUACCCGCAGAAGAAGCACCGGCUAACUCCGUGCCAGCAGCCGCGGUAA
rnacentral:rRNA from 1 species